UACAGAGGUCUCAAGCGUUGUUCGGAUUCAUUGGGCGUAAAGGGUGCGUAGGCGGCGAGGUAAGUCGGAUGUGAAAUCCCGGGGAUCAACCCCGGAACUGCAUUCGAUACUGCUUUGCUUGAGUACUGGAGAGGAGACUGGAAUUUACGGUGUAGCAGUGAAAUGCGUAGAUAUCGUAAGGAAGACCAGGGGCGAAGGCGAGUCUCUGGACAGUUACCGACGCUGAGGCACGAAGGCCAGGGGAGCAAACGGG
rnacentral:rRNA from 1 species